AGCUCGAGCAACUGAUUUGAGCUAGUGGAGAAGGUCAAGUAUUAAGGCUUUAAGGAAAGCGGAGGCUAGGAGAACUGAAGGCUAGCCCAGAUUUGACAUUCGAGAGGCGACGCGAGGAGUAGUGCGGAG